GAAUUUUGGACAAUGGGGGCAACCCUGAUCCAGCAAUGCCGCGUGAGUGAAGAAGGCCUUCGGGUUGUAAAGCUCUUUUGUCAGGGAAGAAACGGUUCUGGCUAAUACCCGGAGCUAAUGACGGUACCUGAAGAAUAAGCACCGGCUAACUACGUGCCAGCAGCCGCGGUAAUACGUAGGGUGCAAGCGUUAAUCGGAAUUACUGGGCGUAAAGCGUGCGCAGGCGGUUGUGCAAGACAGAUGUGAAAUCCCCGGGCUUAACCUGGGAAUUGCAUUUGUGACUGCACGGCUAGAGUGUGUCAGAGGGGGGUAGAAUUCCACGUGUAGCAGUGAAAUGCGUAGAGAUGUGGAGGAAUACCGAUGGCGAAGGCAGCCCCCUGGGAUAACACUGACGCUCAUGCACGAAAGCGUGGGGAGC
rnacentral:rRNA from 1 species